GGAACAGUAAAUGAGAAAGCGGAAAAUUACAGCCAAACACAAACACCACAAAAGUGUAAAAAUAUGCCUGGUCGCAAAUGUACAACAUCGCAAAAACAGUCCAGUCCUUAAGGGGUUAAAUGCUACUAGAUGAAUCUUAGCAACGGUUCUCGAUAUUUUGAAACAGUAUGUGAUUGAUUCAUCACCUUUUUUGAUAUCAUGGAAGCGCUUGAAAAGGUUAAAUCUGUAUAGACAAC